GCGCUCCUUUAGCCCCACAUAUACUAAAACUGGAAUGACACAGAGAAGAUUAGCAUGGCCCUGGGCAAAGAUAACAUGCAAAUUCAUGUAGCAUUCCAUAUUUUU
ensembl:snRNA U6 U6 spliceosomal RNA